CCCCUUUCAGGUUUGCUUCUGGAGAGUUUCCAGGACUCUACCAGUCUCGGCUAUGGGAGGGAGAGUCAAGCAGAGGCCUACGCAUUCCAUUCCUAGCUUGGCCAGUGGCUAGUGAGUGGAAGGCAAUCUGCUACAAGU